UACGAAGGGGGCUAGCGUUGCUCGGAAUCACUGGGCGUAAAGGGUGCGUAGGCACGGGUCUUUAAGUCAGGGGUGAAAUCCUGGAGCUCAACUCCAGAACUGCCUUUGAUACUGAGGAUCUUGAGUUCGGGAGAGGUGAGUGGAACUGCGAGUGUAGAGGUGAAAUUCGUAGAUAUUCGCAAGAACACCAGUGGCGAAGG
rnacentral:rRNA from 1 species